UAAAGUCUACAGGACAACUGAUCUAGUACAAUUAUAUAGACAAGAUGAUACCAUGUAUUCAUUUAAACAUUUGUUUUCUUUACUUAAGUGGUGAUAUCUGUAUUGGUGGCAUCAUUUUUCCCCUUAUAGACUCUAUCUGUCAUAAUCCUGUUUCAUUGCUUUACUUAGAAGCAAUUAGUUUCAUGUUAUAUAUCUUUAAAAUAUUCCCAAUUAGCCUCAUGUUACAGGCAAACUGCCAGGCAUAAGGCAAAACAAAACUAGAAAUGCUGUGUGAUCUUUCUGUUUUGAGAUGUUCACCAAUUGACCUUCUAUUUCAAAUAUUUGUGUUCGUGUGUGUGGUGUGUGUGUGUGUAUGUACCUUUUUAGAUUCAUUUGACUUAAUGUGAGGCUUGUUAGUGUCUUGUUACGCUUGUUGGAACUAAAGUCAAACCACUUUAAUUCUUAUGGAAACUAGAGGGAACGAGUAAAUAGAAUCUUGACGCUUGUGUCAUCUUGACCUGGUGCAACACAGGGAGCUCAAGAGCCAGGAAGAUGGACUGUAUAUUGUAGACAUAAGGUCAAGUGUCUGUCCUCCAAAGCUUCCUGUCUAUUCACUAUUCUGGGACAUUUCUAGACUAUGCAAUAUUGUCAAAAUCCUUGCCUAUUGGUAUUUACAUCCUUAAAUGACGUUAAGAGUUAAGAAAGGAAGGAAGGAAAGAAGAAGGAAGAAAGGAAAGAAGACAGAAGGAAGAAAGGAAGGAAGGGGCCAGUUAGUAAAUAAUUACUACACAACUCUGGAAAGGAGCCAUGUUAUUGGAUUAGUGAACAGUAGUGGACAGUAUGUGAUAUCAUGGUUAAGGGAUGGAUCCUCCAAAAGUAAAAGAGCCUGUGUGGGACAAAAACCUAAAAAUGACCCUGAAGGCAGUUCUACUGUCUCAAAAAACGAAGUGAUUUUUGAGUGGCUUCCGCGUACCAAGAACUAUGGGGAUGUAAAAAAUGUAACAUCCUUCACUUAGAUAUUAGUUGGAAAGACAAGAGAGCUAUGUAACAAUGCAAGGAGCAACAAUGAAAGACUUUCAGGUCAUUCUUCAACAUUCACUGAAGACAUCAGCAUCAGCACCACUUCAGUAAGCCCUGCUGGAACCCCGAGGGGCUCCAACAUCCAUGUGUAACAACGGUAGAGGAAAAUGAUGGACAGCACAGCUUCUGAACCGGACACACUUCAGUUCUCAAGAAGUCGGAUCUGAGAGCAUGCUUCCACCGCUGGAGCAUGCAUUCUGCUGGAAGAGGGGAAGAAGAGAUGAAUGAGAAAUCUAUCAAUCCAUCUCAGGGUUUCUAUGGCAACCAAUGUUGACUUCUUCGACUUUGAUUCUUACAAAUUUGGAGCACAGAUGAUACCAAUUUGAAAUUGUUGCAUACAAGGCUUGAAUUCUUCAAAAACCAAGGAGGAUAGGAUAUUGAUUUUAUGGUAUAAAAAAGAAGAUCUGAAGAAUUGGAUUUGCCAGAUCCUGGCUUAUGCAAAUGAAACUGGCAUUGAACAGAAGGAAGAGCUAUCUGGCCAAACACUCAAACUCCAGAAUUAAAGACUUGUUCAUCUGGAGGAAUGUCAUGCAUUCAACCUUUACCACUGAUGCUUGGGUAGUUCACAAUGUUUUACAAACUCUCAUCAACACAAGGAUUAGUGGUAUGAGCAUUCAAGGGUCAAGGCCAAAUUAGCAGCUUUGUGCUUUCCAUUUUGAGGUUGAAUUCAUACACAGCUGAUAACAUUCAAAUCUCAUCUCAAGUGAUGAGAGCAGAGAAAAUGAAUUGUUGUUGCUUUAAGCAGGACACUGUCUCAUUUCGUGAAUGCAAAUGUGUCGCUCUCUGGUGCAGCUCAAGAUUCUGCUUAUUAUAAACCUAAAACAGUCUGCCAUGCUUUUUGGUGUUUGCAUUGACACAUACAAUAUCAGAGUGCACUAGGAGGAGACAUUGUAUUUUGUUUCAACUAAUUUAUUUCGUGGACACACGUAAAACACCAUUCGUACAACGGGAAUGUCAAAAGCUUCAGAUGGCAAUUUCUAGUAAGGAAUGGUCAUGAAUAAAAUCAAAGUGGAACAAGAUGUGAUAUUUUUUCCUUUCUUCAUUUGGAAUUCAAAUAAUCUUAAGUUCUUGGAUUUAGCUUUUUUAUAUUUACAUGUAUGAAUGAAAUGCCUGUUUCAAAUAAGAUCUGUUCACGACCAGGUUACUGAGCCCCAACUAUAAUAAAAUAUUGAUAAUUUGUGUAAUCUUCUAAAGAAGUACAUAAAUCCAGGUUCGGGCAGUUUGGACUUAGUCACUGAGAGUGGAGUGGAGACACCCACUGCUCCACUCACACCUGAUGAUGAUUUAUGCCUGAUUACCUGCACUUUACGUCAAGAACAAUGAUCCUGGAGGUUGCCUCUUCUCUCAGUAUUGUUCUGCCACUAGAGCCAGCAUCUAUCUUUAAGUUUCAAUUUUCAAUCAGGGUCUAUCCCAGAGGAUCUGGAGGGUUUUCAUUUAAGUUUUGUUGAUUAGAUGAGAGUGUUUUAUGCAUACUUCACAGAUAGAAGCUAAUCCUGAUUGGCUAAUGUCCAAAAUGAGGACGAACAAUCAGGUAACAAACACAUCUUUCUCUUUUUACAUUCUCCACAACCCUUCUCUCCAAAAAAAGAAAAAGCAAGCUAGGCUUAUCUUUGUUUACCUCUGGCAAUUCAAGAAAUCUUCCUUGAGUGUGACUAUGUCUUAGGUACUUGGGAAUAUAAUGAUGAAGAGGGCUGUCACAGAUCCUGCUGAUAAGGAUCUCAGGGUCUAGUCAGAGGAGACGGAUGCUCAAGCAUGCAAUUCUGAUGCUAUGUAUUAAGGGACAUGACAUGGGCAGCUCAGGUGUUGACACAGCACAUAGCAGAAGCAUCUACACUGGACUUGAUAGGUCAGAAGGCUUCCUGGGGGAAGUUGUAUCUCAAACGGAACUGGAAGGAUAAGCAGGAGUUAGGCCAGAUGAAGAUAAGAUAGAAUACAGUAAGGGAGUUCCAGGAAGAAAGGACUGCAGAGAAGAAAGAGUGUGAUAGAGUAAAGCCCUGAAAUUAAAUGUUGCUCUGUGGGUGGAUCAGAGGAGACACAACAGAGGCUGGAGGCCAGGUACUAAAGGGCCUUGCGUACUACUUGAAGGAAUUUAAAUUUGAGUGAAGAGUUAGAAGGUUCUUGUAGUAAUCUAUUUAAUCUAUUUUAAACCUGUGUCUUGAUGGUAAGUGAUGGUUAGCAUUCCUGAAUGAAAUUGCUAAAUUUUUCAUGCUUCUUUUUCUAUUUCAGGUAUUAUAGACUAUGCAGAGAUUCAAAUGUAAGGAUUCCUAUAGUAAAUUUCUCCUGAAGGGGCUGGCUCGAGGCACUGUGAUUAAGUUUGUCAUGCUCCGCUUCAGCCACCUGGGUUUGUGGGUUUGGAUCCCAGGCGCAGACCUAUACUGCUCAUCAGCCAUGCCAUUGCAGCAACCCACAUAUAAGUGGAGGAAGAUUGGCACAGUUGUUAGCUCAGGGCUAAUCUUCCUCAGCAAAAAUAAAUAAAUGAAUAAAUAAAGAUUCUCUUGGUAUUGAGUGUGAAAAAAACCUUACCACUAAAUGUUUAUACAUCCUUUUAUUAGAAAAAUCAGAAGUGGAAAACUCAAUGGUUUUGCUUUUAAGAAGCUAAAAGCACAUUUUGUGUUGC
rnacentral:lncRNA from 1 species